UGCCAGACUCCUACGGGAGGCAGCAGUGGGGAAUAUUGGGCAAUGGGCGCAAGCCUGACCCAGCAACGCCGCGUGAAGGAAGAAGGCUUUCGGGUUGUAAACUUCUUUUAAGAGGGAAGAGUAGAAGACGGUACCUCUUGAAUAAGCCACGGCUAACUACGUGCCAGCAGCCGCGGUAAUACGUAGGGAGCGAGCGUUGUCCGGAUUUACUGGGUGUAAAGGGUGCGUAGGCGGCUAUGCAAGUCAGUAGUGAAAUCCAUGGGCUUAACCCAUGAACUGCUAUUGAAACUGCACAGCUUGAGUGAAGUAGAGGUAGGCGGAAUUCCCGGUGUAGCGGUGAAAUGCGUAGAGAUCGGGAGGAACACCAGUGGCGAAGGCGGCCUACUGGGCUUUAACUGACGCUGAGGCACGAAAGCGUGGGUAGCAAACAGGAUUAGAUACCCGCGUACU
rnacentral:rRNA from 1 species